UCCCUUGUAGCUCAGUCGGUAAAGGAUCUGCCUGCAGUGCAGGAGACCUGGGUUCGAUCCCUGGGUUGGGAA
rnacentral:tRNA from 1 species